UACGAAGGGGGCUAGCGUUGCUCGGAAUGACUGGGCGUAAAGGGCGCGUAGGCGGCCCAUACAGUCAGAUGUGAAAUUCCUGGGCUUAACCUGGGGGCUGCAUUUGAUACGUGUGGGCUUGAGUGGGGAAGAGGGUCGUGGAAUUCCCAGUGUAGAGGUGAAAUUCGUAGAUAUUGGGAAGAACACCGGUGGCGAAGGCGGCGACCUGGUCCUUGACUGACGCUGAGGCGCGAAAGCGUGGGGAGCAAACAGG
rnacentral:rRNA from 1 species